ACUCACCACGGAUGGGAUGUACGAGCUCUCUCCAUUGCCUCUAACGAGGAUCGAUCUAAGAGCAUUGACUGGCGGUGGCUUUGUUCUCUAUCUAGAUCUGAAUCAGAUGUAAUUGAACAGAUCUAGAAGUCUCUCAGUCUGCCUAUGGCUCUCUUAGACCAACAUCAUGGAUCCUGAUUCCCGACCUAUGCCGCUAAAGCUACAGACUUGAAUCAAGUGCUGGUUUGGUUGCCAAGAUGAGCAGAGGCACCCUCUUCUCUCAUCUGUUUAUCAGGACCCAACAAUGUUUGAAGCAACGACUAGAGCAAUAUUCUGAAAGUGAUGUUUGAGAGGUAAUUAUUUUUAUCAAAUAAGCAGUUUCUGAAAUGGGCUGCCCAAGAAAUUAAAAACCUUUGAAUGUAAUUUUGAAAGUAGGAGAAACAUUUUAACAUGUGUUCUAUAUCUAUCCUUGGUACAGAUGAUAUAUCCUCGUUUGAGAGGUAGACUACAUGUCAUACAUCCUUUACAUGGCCUGGUGAGUGAUGUUGGGUAUAAUUUUUUCUUUUCUCUGUUUUUUUUUUUUUUUUGGUUAGUGGAUUUUUUAACAGAUGAAUCUCAGGAUAAUGAUCUAUGAUUUAAGAGGUGGAAUUUAAAUGGGUAUUGUUGCAUUUACAGUAUUGUGAGCCUUGACAUGUUUACCUUUUGAAACAAAACUAAAGUUUACCUUCUGCGCAAUUUCACAAAGAGAAGACAAGCUACAAUCGUGUAUACUUACGUGUGUGUGUGUCCUUUAUAUUCCAUUAAUAUCAGAAAAAUGAU